ensembl:lncRNA
UGUAACACUAUACUAUGAUGAAACCGAAGGGGAGAAGAUGAUAAAAGAUUCAACUAUUAAACCUCUAAAACUCACUCAGUGUCCCAAUGUGUAAUUUAUUUAAAUAACUUUAUUUUUAACAAACAUCAACUUCCUACACUUUGAUUAGGUUUAUUAAGUUUAAUUGGUUAAAGCUGUACGUACUCCAGAAUGUUUAUAAAAGACAUGUCUAUCUAUUCUUAUGGUGAUUUUUAUUUCUUUUUCUUUUUUUUUCUAGCACAGAUAAAGCUGCUUCGUGUGUCAUAAUGCCCACGUGUAAGAACUUUUCUGGCAUAAAUACUGAAGAGUGGAAAUCCUGAGUAUUAUCUAAUGAUUUUAUAGGCAUUACCAAAUUACUACCCUAAGCAAUUACACCAUUCUACAUGCUCUCCAGCAAAGUAGAAUUCCCGUUUUUCUACACCCUUAACAUUUUUACUUACCUGUUGAUGCAAGAGAGCUUUAGCUUGGUGCCACUCUAUCUUUAAUACCUUUCUAACACUUGCUAACUACCUUUUGUCGCAAAGGGAGAUAGGUACCCCGGAUCAGAAACUCGAACAAACUGAAAUCUAAACUUUCAUAUUAUCAUUUUACAUUCUGCCUGGGUUGUUUUUUUGUUGUUGUUGUUAUAGUUGCCUACUAUUCUUGCACAAGGGAUGCUGUCUUUCCAAUUGUGAUAAACAUAGGAAAUUUCCUUUUAAAAGAAAUUAAAUCAGUAAGACAGAGUAAAACAAAAUAUUAGGUAAAUAAUUAGUACAGAUUGCAUGUGAUUUGGAGGAGAAAAAAAAAUCAUGCAGGAAGCUCUGAAUAAGUAAAGAUGGGAGAAGUAAUACGCCAGUGAUUAAUUGCAGGGGAAUGUUGUUGAGCUCAAGACCAGUGGGUUCUGCAAUUAGGUAACACCUCCCUGGAAACUGUAGUAUUUCAGAAGUGAAAAAUCCUGGGGACCAUGUAAUCCGACCUAUGUGUUUCAUGGGUGACGACAUUGUGGUCCAGAGAGAGGAAGUGUCUUGCCAGUAAUGGCACAGUGAGUCAGUGGCCAAGUGGAGGCUGGCACCCAGGUUUUCUCCACCAAGCACAUGACAAGUGGUCACUGGAUUGACAGGAACAAUCAAAGCAGACUUAUUAAGUGAUUAGAACAACAGAUCCUUAUCCCUGGCUCUGUGUACCCACCGUUUGCUGUUUCGUCAUCUUGUAAUGCAGAUCUCCUGCAACCUAUCUUUUUAGCUUUCUUUUAUCUGAAAAUGCCUAUUUCUGUCUGCAUUCUUGAGGGAUAUUUGCACUGAAUGUAGAACUCAGGAUGAACAUAUUUUAAAAUCUUAUCUCUUCUAAGAUAUUCUUCCGCAGUCUGCCAGCCGCCAUGGUUUCAAAUGAGAAGUCGGUGAUCAUUCAGGUGUUCUCCUAUAUGUACUGUAUUAUUUUGAACUGGCUGCUUUCACGAGUUUCUUUUUAGCUUUGGUUUUCAACAGUUGGGCUAUUAUGUGCCUAGGUGUGGUUUUCUUGCAUUUAUCCUACUUAGAUUUGCUAAGCUUCUCAAAUCUGUAUUCCUUAAAAAAAAAAAAAAAAAAA